UCUAAAGUAUCAAAUAUCAAUACUUUAAGUAGGUAUUCCAACGCUACCGCGAAAACCCUCUGCCGUACGGCGAUCCGUAAAUUUGCUACCAUCUUCCCACACCCGCGGUACAAAAACUAUCCGGUUCUAGAGGCAAAUUUACCCAUCAAAAUAAAGGAUAUAAGUUUCUCUUUCCUGUGAUGUGUUUAUUUUGCUUGUAAAUUGUUUAAAACGCCAGAAAUUCGCCGGUGAAAACGGCGCGCCGUAAGCGGGGAGGCCUGGGUUUCAGAUCGUGGUUUCAAUACUUCCGGAUGCAGCCGCCGUGACCCCUGACUUUACCGCGCUUGCGCUUCGCCGUCUUAGACCGCAGCAGAAUGAAAGUUGUACCAUUUGAAAGAGCACAUUUCAAGCUUUAAAAUGAUGCCUGGAACAUGAGGAAAAAUUUAUUUUUCGGGGGACAAAAGUCAAUUUGAAAGGAAUCGUCGAUCUUUAAUGAUAAAAAUCACCGAUCGAACUUUAUUUUUUCUUCUUGUUCCUGGUGCCAAACUGACGACAAAAAACAGGGCUACGUUUUGAUGUAAUCGGCAUGUUUAUAACAUGCACACUCGCAAAGCGGCGGGCUGUUUUCCCCGACGAUCGCCCCGAUUUGGCCGGCCGGCGGCGCCGCGCGAUCCUAACGCGCCAAAUUUUGGGCCCCGCGCCCCUCAGAAACGGAGGAUAUGUCACUGAAGCGGCACAAAUAGAACAUUUUUCGACGCUAUGGAUGAAGAAUUUCAAGCCAGGUUCCUACUGACCGGGCGAGGUUGACGCAGUUGGUACUGAGGUUCAGUCGCAGAAGAUGGCUCAGAAACAGUGACACUUACCUCCUUCCAUCUUGUUGCAGGUGGAAUGUAGAUUGUACCAACUCCCAGAUGUAGCUGAUAUAAGACUGGAGAGCGGAGCGGAGAUAUUGAAUGGUAGAGGUCAAACAUAAUGUUUACAAGUUGUGCAGCCAGUUCCAUUAUCAGCAUUAAGUUUGUUUAAAGAAUACUGUUGCUACCACAGAGAAUGAUAAGUAAGCCUGUUGUUUUUGUGAAAAGUUGUUUACCUUGAAUUAUUAUAUAUAGUAUUGAUUAGAUAAGGAGAAGUACAUGUACCUGCAAGUACAUCAAAGAAAUCUGUAUCGAUUGUAUGUAUCCUGAAGACAGCCUUUGACCUUGAAAAAUGUUGAACUUAUCCUAAUAAAUUUAGUGUUUACACAAUGUCUACAUAUUGAUAUUCUAUCUCUUAUUAGUACUAACAUCUGUCUUCUAUAUUUUAUUAUACAAUUACAAGUGUAAAGUUGUACUGUUGAUGCUGUGUAACAUCAUGACUUAACAUGAAAAUAAUGCGACAUACAUGUAUUCACACACUUA